AAUGAUGCCUGGCAUUUUGCUAGAGGGAAUGGUUGAAAGGUGACCCUGCUCCGGGAUUAGGGCGGCUCCAGGAUUAGGGCGGAUCCUGCUGGGAAUAGGGUGGCUCCAGGAUUAGGGCUCAUCCUGCUGCCUCGGGCAGUCUUCCCGGAGUUGCUUGGGAGUUGCUUGGGAAUGCAGGCCAAAGCGGGUGGUAAACUCCAUCUAAGGCUAAAUACUGGCGCAAGACCAUAGUCAAGAAGUACCCUAAGG
rnacentral:rRNA from 1 species